AACGAACGCUGGCGGCAUGCCUAACACAUGCAAGUCGAACGGGAUCCUAGCUUGCUAGGUGAGAGUGGCGGACGGGUGAGUAACACGUGGGAAUCUGCCUUUUGGUUCGGGAUAACCGCGGGAAACUGCGGCUAAUACCGAAUGCCCUCGAGAGAGGAAAGAUUUAUCGCCAGAAGAGGAGCCCGCGUCCGAUUAGGUAGUUGGGUGGGGGUAAAGGCCUACCAGCCGACGAUCGGGUAGCUGGUCUGAGAGGAUGAUCAGCCACACUGGGACUGAGAUACGGCCCCAGACUCCUACGGGAGGCAGCAGUGGGGAAUAUUGGACAAUGGGGGCACCCUGAUCCAGCAAUGCCGCGUGAGUGAUGAAGGCC
rnacentral:rRNA from 1 species